UCAGGUUUCUUAUACUUGCUGGCUUCAGUGCCUCAACCCAACGCAGCCUGACAGGUCCCCCCACGAGCACAGCUCCUGUCCAGAUACCGAUGGCCUUCUUGUCACGGAAUCUAGUGCACACCCUUCAGUCUGAAUCUCCCUUGAAUCCUUGGCCUCGUUUGGUGUUGUCGACCUCCCUCCCCAGGAUUCCACUGGGUUGGAGCAGAAGCUGGCAGGAAGAUAAGAUGACAGUUUCCAGGCAACAUGCAAAAACAAGGGCAGCAUCCUCCUCUGAAUUUCUGUUCUCCACCCAUUCAGCCUUCCUGCUGUCCGUCAAACACCAGGGAUGCUCCCGGCCGCAUUCUCUCCUCCAUCCGGCACUGCUCCUCCUGCCCGGUUCCCGGGGGGUCACUCUUCACCGCCACCAAAUUUGUUCAAGUAUCGCCUGAGCCCCCACGACCUGCACACCCUGUGGCAGAAUUCCCAAUGCCCCGAAUUCUUGCUCUAUUCUUUGGUUCAUCGAAAAUGAUAAAAUGCAUUUAUUUACUGUAAAGUUUAUUGCUCAUCGUUUGUCUCUUCAUGUCUCCUCAUUGUGUACCCCGAGUGCUGAGAAAGUGUCAGGUACAUGCCAGGCCCUCAGUGGAUUCAUUAGGGUCCGAACAAAUUAGUGAAAGAGAAGAUGAAUAUAAAAAAGUA